rnacentral:rRNA from 1 species
CGGCAACAGCUCAAAUUUGAAAUCUGCCCGCAAGGGCCGAGUUGUAAUUUGUAGAGGAUGUUUUGGGUGUAGCACCGGUCUAAGUUCCUUGGAACAGGACGUCAUAGAGGGUGAGAAUCCCGUAUGUGACUGGCUGCCUUCGCCUAUGUGAAGCUCUUUCGAC